GUGGGAGUCCGGACGAAGUCUGCCUGCAGCCGGAGUCGGGGACAAGGCCCGGUUCCCUUAGGAGUCCGGGUGGUGCAAUGGGAGUUCGCCAUCUGCAACUGAAAGCUGGAGGAGUCCUGCGAGGGUCAAUCCUGUUAAGAACUUCGACUGAGGGUAUUUUAUACCCAACAUACGUAUUAAAAGCUUUAACAAUUAAAACUAUCCAACCGAAACUCAAACCCCAGAAUCAUCUUAUAGAUAUCGAACAAACC
rnacentral:lncRNA from 1 species